rnacentral:lncRNA from 1 species
UUAGAUGGGCUAUUUUCUGUAGCUUUGGGAAUGUUAUUGUUUCUUGAUGUUUCUGUCCUUUUGGCUUCUAAAAUCUCGGGCAUGCUUUUUUAUGUAAAAUUGUUAUUGGUUUGUUUAUUGUUAUAGUUUGUUGGGCGUCGGGCAUGUAAUCUUUUAUAGUCAUGACAUCAUAGGGUUUGUCCUAUGAUGUCUAUGCUAUAUUCUGAUUGGGG